UCCCAUCUUGUUUGCUGCAAAUGCCAU
rnacentral:piRNA from 1 species